AAGUCGUAACAAGGUUUCCGUAGGUGAACCUGCGGAAGGAUCAUUAGCGAAGUUCGGAAUGCAUGUCCGGUGUUGAUGCUGCCCAGCAAUGGGAUGUGCUCGCUCGGAUGUGUGUCCCUUCUCUAUCCACCCCACUGUGAACCAAGUGUGUGAGCCGAAGAGAAAUCGGACGCUCGCAUGCAAACCUUUAACAUACCCCAAUAAAGUAUCAGAAUGUACCUUGCGUUAACUCGCACAAAUAUAACUUUCAACAAUGGAUCUCUUGGCUCUC
rnacentral:misc_RNA from 1 species